rnacentral:rRNA from 1 species
GACGAACGCUGGCGGCGUGCUUAACACAUGCAAGUCGAGCGGUAAGGCCCUUUCGGGGGUACACGAGCGGCGAACGGGUGAGUAACACGUGGGUGACCUGCCCUCAGCUCUGGGAUAAGCCCGGGAAACUGGGUCUAAUACUGGAUAUGACUCCACGGUGCAUGCCGUGGGGUGGAAAGCCUUGUGCGGCUGAGGAUGGGCCCGCGGCCUAUCAGCUUGUUGGUGGGGUGANGGCCUACCAAGGCGACGACGGGUAGCCGGCCUGAGAGGGCGACCGGCCACACUGGGACUGAGACACGGCCCAGACUCCUACGGGAGGCAGCAGUGGGGAAUCUUGCGC